ensembl:snRNA
UUGUCUUAUGAACAUAAAGAAGGUUAGCAUUCCUUUUGACAAGGUCGGACAAGAUUCCAGUUGACCUGUACUGCACAUGGACAGUUAAGGCUUUACCACCUCUUUGCAGCACCUGACCACAAUCAGGU